UUUCUAGGAGGACCUGACGAUGAAGGAUGCUGAGCUGAUUCUGGAUGAGUUUAAGGCAGGCAAGAAACCCAAGCCAGGUCCACGAAACUCGCGAUCGACGAGUGAGCCGGUGACGGGCCUCACGUCUCUUAACACGCCACCAACCGGACCCGGAUUCAAGGUCAGAUCCGACUUGUGAAGCCCUACGAUGGGCGACCACCGCCGGCUCUUGUCUCCGUAGUUGUGACGAUGGAGUCAUCUAGCUUCAUAACGAAAGGAAUCCGGAUUCUUCAUGUUGAGAGUGGAGCUUGAUAACUAGCGGUUAGAUAGCGGUUUUGUUAAGAAAUCCCGAGAAUAGACGUUCGCAGUGAAGCGACGAAUGUGUUUCUGUUAAUUAUUGUAGCGGUGCGCAUGUACCGGACGCAGUGCGGCUGACCCCUUAUCCGAAUCUUAAAGAUUAACUCACAUGCCCUUGUAAAGUUUGCGAAUCGUCACAUCUCUACGAAGGCAAUUUUUCGGUAGAUACCUGUUCGUUGUGCGUUCCCAUGCUGUAGAACUCAUGUUAAAACACUGAUGCGGUUCGAAACGUUCUAGACAUAGCUUCUGAAGCUUUCAGAAAGUCUGACAAGUCCGUUCUGGCGCUCUCCGUCGGUAUUGCUUUUGUGCUAUCUACUGGGAAGAUCUCGUAGAAUGAUCUUCGCGGAAAGUAUCAAGCAUCGCUUCACCGGGUUUGCGCGUAUACGCAACCAGACGGCUGCAGCACCAGUACAGUGCUCUCGACUUUCUUUAUGUUGAAAAAAAUACUUGUUGACGUCGAUGCGUUGAAUAAAACACGGUUGCUUUCAUUGCUUGUUACGACA